CAGUAGCCGCGGGAAAACCAGCACCUCGAGUGGUCAGGAGGUUUAUUGGGCCUAAAGCAUCCGUAGCCGGUUGCAUAAGUUUUCGGUUAAAUCUAUGCGCUUAACGUAUAGGCCGCCGAAAAUACUGUGCAGCUAGGGAGUGGGAGAGGUACACGGUACUCGAUAGGAAGGGGUAAAAUCCUUUGAUCUAUUGAUGACCACCUGUGGCGAAGGCGGUGUACCAGAACACGUUCGACGGUGAGGGAUGAAAGCUGGGGGAGCAAACCGGAUUAGAUACCCCAGUAGUCCCUGUCUCUUAUAC
rnacentral:rRNA from 1 species